rnacentral:tRNA from 1 species
GCCGAAGUGGCGGAAUUGGUAGACGCGCCAGACUCAAAAUCUGGUGGACCUUGCGUCCGUGAGAGUUCGAUUCUCUCCUUCGGCA